ACCCUCUGCUUCUAGCCCCAGUGAUGCGGGGUGGGGGUGGGGUGGGGGCAACAUGGACGCUGCUCCCAGAAGCCCACCCUCCUGAUGUCUGACCCGAGCCCUCCUUGGCGCCUUGGACCUGGCUGGCGUCUCUCAACUCCCUCCCAGGGCCAGCAGCUCCGCUGCGGGGGCCCGGGCUCCUCUCCCUCUGCACGUUCCCCCCGCGUGAGCUCAUCCCGCCCAUGGCUGUAAUUCCGGCGGAUGGGCCGCGGCUGCCUCUCCAGUGCGGGCUUGUCUCCGAGCUGCUCCACUCGUGGACACCUCUGCCUGGAUUCCUGCCCCCCUCCCCCCGCGCUCCACCUCCACAUGUGUGAACUUGAAUGCAGUCUGAACCUGGCCUCCUCCCUUCUUAUCUCAGCGAGCAGCUCCUCAGGUGCCUGUCAGGAACCUGGGCGGGAUUCCUGCCUCCUUCUUGCUCACCCCCCACCCUCGGGUCAGCCCCUGCUGCCCUUUCCUGCGCCCCCACACUAGCGCGGGAGGCGGCGGCUGUCACAGUGGUCGGUGGGCGCCCCUUCCUCCAAGCUGCCCUCCACCCCGCCUCUGAGGAUGAGGGGCACCUUCUGUCCAUCUCCGCUCACCUGUCACUGCCGGCUGUCGAGGGCCACUGUUCUCCGUGUGAAUGGAUAGAGCUGGCUGAUUUCACACUUUUGCCCCACCGUCCGUCUCCCCUGGAUCCGUGGAUUAGCAUAUUAGAAUAUUCUCCCCACUGGGAGGAACAGGGCUGAGGAGGGAGCGCCCCAACACCAGCGCAAGCCGGGGUCCCCUCGUCGUGGGCUCUGUCUUCCUGUGGACCAACGCCUGGCUGAUGGGUUCACGGCGCCUCUGAUGCACGGGCUGUUCUUGCUCAUAAGGAUGGACCGACGUCAGCUGACCUGCAUGUUCCUUCUCAGGUCUAGGGGGUGCGGGGUGGGGGCGGUCAUGGUGUGGCCUUCCCCAGCCCCUUUGCUGCUGGGCAGGCAGGGCCAGAGGUGGAGAUGAUUACCUGGGGCCCACCAGAGGGCGCUCCUUUCCCAGUGGCCGCCCCACACUCACUCCUGAGGCCCUGGCCUUCCCCAGGCCUCUCUCCCACUCACCCUCCUGACCCUCAGUCAGAGUAGGGCUCCACCUCCUACAGAUCCCAAAACAGAUCUUAGGGGAUCAGCACUGUGGUGUAGCCGGUAAACCCGCCAUGUGCAGGGCCGGCAACCCAUAGGAGCAUUGGUUCAAGUCCCGGCUGCUCCUCUUCUGAUCCAGCUCCCUGCUAAUGCACCUGGGAGAGCAGUAGAAGAUGGCCCCAGUCCUUGGGCCCCUGCACCCAUGUGAAGAGACCUGGAAGAAUCUCCUGGCUCCUGGCUUCAGAUUGGCCCAGCUCUGGUAGUUGCAGCCAUUUGGGGGAAUGAACCAGUGGAUGGAAGAUCUCUUUCUAUCUCUAUGUCUCCUCUCUGUGUAACUCUGUCAAAUAAAUAUUAAAAAAAAAAAAAAAAGCCCCCGACC
rnacentral:lncRNA from 1 species